GUGGGGAAUAUUGGACAAUGGGCGAAAGCCUGAUCCAGCCAUGCCGCGUGUGUGAAGAAGGUCUUCGGAUUGUAAAGCACUUUAAGUUGGGAGGAAGGGCAGUAAGUUAAUACCUUGCUGUUUUGACGUUACCGACAGAAUAAGCACCGGCUAACUUCGUGCCAGCAGCCGCGGUAAUACGAAGGGUGCAAGCGUUAAUCGGAAUUACUGGGCGUAAAGCGCGCGUAGGUGGUUCAGUAAGUUGGAUGUGAAAUCCCCGGGCUCAACCUGGGAACUGCAUCCAAAACUGCUGAGCUAGAGUACGGUAGAGGGUGGUGGAAUUUCCUGUGUAGCGGUGAAAUGCGUAGAUAUAGGAAGGAACACCAGUGGCGAAGGCGACUACCUGGACUGAUACUGACACUGAGGUGCGAAAGCGUGGGGAGCAAACAGGAUUAGAAACCCGAGUAGUCC
rnacentral:rRNA from 1 species